GACGAACGCUGGCGGCGUGCUUAACACAUGCAAGUCGAACGGAAAGGCCCUGCUUUUGUGGGGUGCUCGAGUGGCGAACGGGUGAGUAACACGUGAGUAACCUGCCCUUGACUUUGGGAUAACUUCAGGAAACUGGGGCUAAUACCGGAUAGGAGCUCCUGCUGCAUGGUGGGGGUUGGAAAGUUUCGGCGGUUGGGGAUGGACUCGCGGCUUAUCAGCUUGUUGGUGGGGUAGUGGCUUACCAAGGCUUUGACGGGUAGCCGGCCUGAGAGGGUGACCGGCCACAUUGGGACUGAGAUACGGCCCAGACUCCUACGGGAGGCAGCAGUGGGGAAUAUUGCACAAUGGGCGGAAGCCUGAUGCAGCAACGCCGCGUGCGGGAUGACGGCCUUCGGGUUGUAAACCGCUUUCGCCUGUGAAGCGUGAGUGACGGUAAUGGGUAAAGAAGCACCGGCUAACUACGUG
rnacentral:rRNA from 1 species